AUCGAACGCUGGCGGCAGGCCUAACACAUGCAAGUCGAGCGGAUGAAGGGAGCUUGCUCCUGGAUUCAGCGGCGGACGGGUGAGUAAUGCCUAGGAAUCUGCCUGGUAGUGGGGGAUAACGUCCGGAAACGGGCGCUAAUACCGCAUACGUCCUGAGGGAGAAAGUGGGGGAUCUUCGGACCUCACGCUAUCAGAUGAGCCUAGGUCGGAUUAGCUAGUUGGUGGGGUAAAGGCCUACCAAGGCGACGAUCCGUAACUGGUCUGAGAGGAUGAUCAGUCACACUGGAACUGAGACACGGUCCAGACUCCUACGGGAGGCAGCAGUGGGGAAUAUUGGACAAUGGGCGAAAGCCUGAUCCAGCCAUGCCGCGUGUGUGAAGAAGGUCUUCGGAUUGUAAAGCACUUUAAGUUGGGGGGAAGGGCAGUAAGUUAAUACCUUGCUGUUUUGACGUUACCAACAGAAUAAGCACCGGCUAACUUCGUG
rnacentral:rRNA from 1 species